UCUGUCAUGGCAUGAGUUUCCUGCAUCACAUUACAUGUUUUGAAUCUUCCGUGGCUGACUUCAUCCAGCUGCCUGUCAUUGUCCUGAUUGCUCCUCAGACUGCUCCAGUUUAUUCAGGCCUGACGGUGCGUUCACAAAACUCUGCCAUUCUAACUUGCGUUAUUUCAGGAUGUCAUACAUUCCCUUCUUUAGUCAUUGUGCUACAUGGUUUUAACGAUUCAUUAACAAGUGGAACCAUUGAAAACGGUGUGUGAUGCCACCGUGCAGUGUGAUAAUGUUUUGCGAAGAAAUGUGCUGGAAUAAUUUAUCCCUAACAGUGCGUCAGUGUUGCUCCUGGGAGAUAUCACACUUAAACUUGGUCAAAGGAACAGGAACAGAGGAAAUGUGAGAUUUCAUUUUGGGGAUGCAUCUCUAACCCAGCCUUGCAAAUAGCUGGCUAGCAACACGCAACGAUGAUCCCAGACAAACUGCGCCAAACAGGAGCUUCAAUCCUUCAACACCACAUGCAAAAGACCAUUUAUCACCUUUUUCUGGUCUGCGUCGAGUCUGUUCCUGGAAAACAAUCAACGACCAAUUUACAGUUCUGCCUUGUAUGACUUAGCCUGUGAUUUUGCACAUAUCCACAGACUCCGAGUGCCUCACAAUGAUUAAAAGUGGGUGUGCUUAUCUGCCCAACCAGAAAUGUGGGGUUUUCUCUUGGGCAUGCAUCCUGCUUCAUUCCCAAUUCAGUGCAUCCAAAGAGAGCCAAUAAUCAGCCGGCCUGUGCUGACAAUCUCUCCACGUACGGUUGCAUUCCUUAACCCACCUAUUGGUGCUAUUUCCAGCCGUAAACAACAGUAUGUGGAAAAAUAAAAAAAA